rnacentral:rRNA from 1 species
GACGAACGCUGGCGGCGUGGAUUAGGCAUGCAAGUCGAACGGUAUCAUCCUUUCGGGGGUGAGAGAGUGGCGAACUGGUGAGUAACACGUAGGUUAUCUACCCUCAAGACGGGGACAACCCAGGGAAACUUGGGCUAAUACCGGAUGUGAGCAACUUUUAGUUGUUUGAAAGGUGGCGUAAGCUGUCGCUUGGGGAUGAGCCUGCGUCCUAUUAGUUAGUUGGUGAGGUAACGGCUCACCUAGGCAAUGAUAGGUAGGCGGCCUUAACGGGUGGUCGCCCACACUGGGAUUGAGAUACGGCCCAGACUCCUACGGGAGGCAGCAGUCGAGAAUAGUCUACAAUGGUCGGAAGACUGAUAGUGCGACGCCGCGUGAACGAUGAAUCCCUUCGGGGUGUAAAGUUCUUUUAUAUGUGAGCAGUGCUUCUUAUAUUAACGGUAUGGGGAGAGAGAUAUUAGCAUAUGAAUAAGCAACGGCUAACUCCGUGCCAGCAGCCGCGGUAAACUCGUCU